rnacentral:rRNA from 1 species
ACUCCUACGGGAGGCAGCAGUGGGUAGAAUUAUUGCAACGGAAUCGGGAACCUGAUGCAGCCAUGCCGCGUGUGUGAAGAAGGCCUUCGGGUUGUAAAGCACUUUCAGUAGGGAGGAAGGUAGUGUAGUUAACACCUGCAUUAUUUGACGUUACCUACAGAAGAAGCACCGGCUAACUCCGUGCCAGCAGCCGCGGUAAUACGGAGGGUGCGAGCGUUAAUCGGAAUUACUGGGCGUAAAGCGCAUGCAGGCGGCCUGUUAAGUCAGAUGUGAAAGCCCGGGGCUUAACCUCGGAAUUGCAUUUGAAACUGGCAGGCUAGAGUCUUGUAGAGGGGGUGAGAAUUUCAGGUGUAGCGGUGAAAUGCGUAGAGAUCUGAAGG